GACUACUUCCGGUUUUCCACGAAAGCGAAAGAAAAAAGCGGAAGUGUAUUUUCUGGGAAUAUUGCGAUUUGUGGUUCUUGUUGUUCAUUAACAUGGCAGGAUUGAACACAAAGUCGCCGGGCUCGAGGUCUGGAAGUCGCAGAGAAUCGCUUGAAAUGACAAAUCAAAGUGAAUCACUCGCUUCCAACAGCCAAUUUAUGCAAUUAUUGAGAAUGCUACCGGAUGAGUUGGAGCGACUGGAGCGGAAAAUUAAGAAACUUGAGAAAGAAGUGAAAGCGUCCCCAUCAAGUGUAGACUCCUCCAGUAAGAGAGUUGAGAAAUUUUGGAAAGAGCGGUGGGAAGCCAAAGAAAAACAACUAAUAAGCAAACAAGAUGACAGGAUAUUUGAAUUGCGGAAACACUAUGAACAACAGCUGAAGAACAGUACAGAAAUUUUACAGAAAAACAACACGGAGCUUCAAAAUCGCUUAAAUGAAAGCACAGACAUUGCCUCCCAGAAAGGCAAAGAAAAUGAGGCAUUAAAGAAGAAAUUGAGAGAAUGUGAACGUCAGCUACAGGAGAAGAUCAAUUCCAGUCCAAAAUACUUUCGAGAUGCGGACGGGUACAGUUAUGAAGAACAAAUGGUGAAGACAAAGCACGCGCUGGAGGAGAAACGCAGAGAGCUUGACAGGUUUAAAGAAAGGCAUGCCGCUUUCUCGGAAAGAAGAGUGAGAUCUGAUCAGAGAAGGACAGAAAACACACUAAGCACAAACAGGCAGUCACAGCUGGAGAGUGACUACGUCAUUGAAUUUAAGGACGGUACACGUGUCGAUGCCAUUGACAUUAUAACAACUAGAGUUGGUCGUUAUCGGGGAAGCAAAAUCAGCUCAAUUGAGUAUUUAAGGUGCUGCAGACUUGCUUGCUUUGUGUUUGAGAUCGCUUAUGAAGUCGUUUUGGCUGUGAAGGAGUCCUUCGCCGCAUUCACUUGUACUGUAAUGGAAAUGUUAGUGGAAGACGCUCCAGCUAUUGGCUCGGACAACAAUGCAUUUAAUAGCAAGCUUUGGAAACUGCAGUAUGGUCACCCAAAAGAAACCUUACAUAGCACAACUCGAGAUGCGUUAAGCGAGGUGAUGAUCCUUGUCAAGGAACGAGCAAAGAAACACGAUUUACAUUCUCUUGUUCAACAUGUCAAAAGUUCUGUUGCUACGCAGUGGAAUGGUCGUUACGGAGACCAACUUCUUCUAGCUUACGACAGCAUCGUCUUGCAUGGCUUAAAUGACUACAUCAAAUAUUGCACACAGUUCGCCUGGUAUGCUGUCACUCAAGUGCCUCCUCUGAAGAUUGACUACAAGACAGCUGCUUACAGUUCUAGGAGUCACACAGUGAACCAAGCUUUUAGCUUUACUGAAGAACGGAGCCCAACUCGUCGUCCCGUUCGUUCAGAAUCGCGAACUGUUUUGUGUUAUCUGUGGCCAACUCUUCAAGACUGUGAUGGUAAAGUUAUCAGGAAAGGAGAGGUUAUUCUUAAUCGUUAGCGUAAACGAAGGUGCAUAAUACUUUCCUUAAAGAAGAAGGGUAAAUGUUUUUAGUAUCUAGAGUGUUAGAAUAGUGACGUGAUGUCUUACCUUGCAGAAGAGAGUACAACUCAAUCCGUUAAGGUCAUUAUGAGGCAGUCUACUAAUUCAGUUUGGGCUUCUUUGAUAUGGAAAGGGAAGAAAAAAGAUCUUAUAUAGAACGUUUAGGUAGUCCGUUUGUAAUAUAUUUCAAUACUAAGAUUAUUAUUUUUUACUUGAUUUCAUAUUGUUAGUUAGAAAAUGGAAGAAUCGAGUUACUAACUAUAAAAGCAUGUCAUGGAGUUACUAAAGCAUGCCAGGUAGUUAUAUUUGAUAAAAUGAUCAUUUCAAGAUAAAGUGUGCAAGGUUGUUUUGCAGUUGGUCUUUUGCUUGUUAACACCAGCUAACCUCAACUGUAGCAAUACAACUAAUUACCUGAUAUGUUGCUAGGGCUGGUAGGUAUACUUUCGGUAAACUUCCGCGUGCGGGAAUAAGCCCACAAGGAAAAUAAAAACUUCUCCGGUGUGAGUGUAAACAUAUUUACUGUCUACUUAUUUACUUUGUGAGAAGAAUUCCUCGAGAAACAUGGCUACUUUCGAACAAAUUCAUACAUACCAAUUAUUUACAUAGACGUAGCCUAGA
rnacentral:misc_RNA from 1 species